CCUACGGCGGGGCAGCAGUGGGGGAUAUUGCACAAUGGGGGAAACCCUGAUGCAGCGACGCCGCGUGUGGGAAGACGGUCCUCUGGAUUGUAAACCACUGUCCCCAGGGACGAAGAUGACGGUACCUGGGGAGGAAGCUCCGGCUAACUACGUGCCAGCAGCCGCGGUAAUACGUAGGGAGCAAGCGUUGUCCGGAAUUACUGGGUGUAAAGGGAGCGUAGGCGGGAUGGCAAGUUGGGUGUUAAAUCUACCGGCUCAACUGGUAGUCGCAAUCAAAACUGGUAUUCUUGAGUGAAGUAGAGGCAGGCGGAAUUCCUGGUGUAGCGGUGAGAGGAGGAGAUAGUAGGAGGAACAGAAGUGGCGAAGGCGGCCUGCCGGGCUUGUUCUGACGAUGAGGCUCGAAAGUGGGGGGAGCAACCAGGAGUCGAGACACAUGUAGUC
rnacentral:rRNA from 1 species